UAGAGAGUUCUUAAGCCUUCGAAUUAGCAUGUGUGGACAUUUGAUUGAAUCAACUCCUCCUUUUAGUUGAAAGAGGAAGCGAGGCUGUGGUGAAUUAAAGAGAUUUAAUCAAUCCAGAGAUGUUGUAAAUUGACACAGUUGAACCACAUAUUUGGAGAGAUGAUGCCGUUGACUUCCGCAACGAUGAGCAAGGUGGCGAAUACCCGCUAGAGAGAGUGGGAGAACUUCUAGCACCACUCGACAGCCAGAUCAUCAACCAUGUAAGGUAUGGGGGCAAACAACACCCAUGAUUGUUUUUUCUGUAUUCGUCCGUUCUUCUCAGCAGCAAGCCGGCAACUUAGCCAAUGAUGUUGGACGAUCCAAUUCUUUUGGACUCAAACUCUUGGAUUGUUGCUGUAUAUUCUGAAUUUCUUUUGUAAACAAAAGCGAGGAGUUUGAGAGGAGCUGCAAUUGUAAAAUUUACUUGUUUUCAUUCGAAUUGUUUACUUUAUUAUGAAAUGAUUUUUAUUUCUUCUGGAUUUGAUAUACUAUUCUUUGGCUCAUGGGAUUGCCUGACAUGGUGAAGAGCUAA